GACGAACGCUGGCGGCGUGCUUAACACAUGCAAGUCGAACGGAAAGGCCCUGCUUUUGUGGGGUGCUCGAGUGGCGAACGGGUGAGUAACACGUGAGUAACCUGCCCUUGACUUUGGGAUAACUUCAGGAAACUGGGGCUAAUACCGGAUAGGAGCUCCUGCUGCUUGGUGGGGGUUGGAAAGUUUCGGCGGUUGGGGAUGGACUCGCGGCUUAUCAGCUUGUUGGUGGGGUAGUGGCUUACCAAGGCUUUGACGGGUAGCCGGCCUGAGAGGGUGACCGGCGACAAUGGGACUGAGAGACGGCCCAGAAUGCUACGGGAGGCAGCAGGGGGGAAUAUUGCACAAUGGGCGGAAGCGUGAUGCAGAAACGCCGCGUGCGGGAUGACGGCCUUCGGGUUGUAAACCGCUUUCGCCUGUGACGAAGCGUGAGUGACGGUAAUGGGUAAAGAAGCACCGGCUAACUACGUG
rnacentral:rRNA from 1 species